rnacentral:lncRNA from 1 species
UUCCAUCAAAUACAUAUAUAUUCAAAAUCCCAAGAUCCUAAAAACCAUCUUCAGUGUGUAUCGAUCACGCCGACGCCUUCCCACGGUCCUCGCUAGUACCUGAAAUACAUGCACAACAACUGUAAGCAUAAAUGCUUAGUGAGUUCCCCAAUAUACAACUUACGCACAUACGCCUUUCCAGGCCCGACCUUCCGGUCCAUGUGUCUCAGGGGACUUCCGUCCCUGCUGGGUAAACCUUCCGGCCUUACCCACGCCGACCUUCCGGUCCAUCACACAUCAUAUCGCCUUCCGGCCCAUAACAUAAUGCCUUCCGGCCCAUAAUAUAAUCGCCUUCCGGCCCAUAACAUACAUAGCACAUAUAACAAGUAACUUACCACAUAUAGCAUACAUAUCACAUAUCAUAUCCGACCUUCCGGUCACACAGUCAAACCCUUCCGGGUACAGUAUAGUGAGAAGACUCACCUCGUAAGUGCUGAAAGCUAGCAACUCCUGAAAUCACUCGCGCACAAACCAACGAGCUACAACCCUCCUAUAACAUUACAUAACUCAUUAACACUCAUAUCAUCUAAGUGUGACUAUCCCUAAGAAGUCAGACUUAGGUCAACUCUGGUCAACGGUCAACGGUCAACUCGACUGGACUCGGCGAGUACCAUGGCGACUCGGCGAGUCUAGUCGUCCUCACAGAUUCCUGAAUAUUCCCUUUCUACUCGUCGAGUAUACCUCUUGACUCGACGAGGUCCUCGUGGAAGAAUCGCGGGGCCACCCCGACUCCACUCGCCGAGUCUGAUGAACAACUCGGCGAGUCCCAGCAAAUCUUCAAGCUACUCGCCGAGUCUGAAGAACAACUCGGCGAGUCCAUGCCAUGCAGACGAGUAACUGCUUCCUGGGAUAGGUCUCGUCCCGAAGUACACAUGCAUGGGACCUUCUGGACCUCUAAAGGUCCUAAUACAAGACUAUAAUCGUGGGGUAACAAGGCAUUACUUCAUCAAAUCACUAAAUGGGUUCUAUAAACCCUAAUUUCAUAAAUACAUCAAAAUAACAGAUUUGGUCCGAGUAUUACCUGAAAACGCACUCUCUGUGUCCCCCAAAUCUCAGGACUCAAUCCUCCUUGAUAUUCCUUUAGCCAAAUCCCUCUUCUUCUUGCCUAACCAAUUCUUCCAAGUUCCAAAGCUUUCUCCCUUGCUCUAGGCGUCCACAGCGAUUAGGGUUCCUCUCAAUUGACCAAAAGACUGAAAAUGACGGCCUAAGAGGCGUUAAAUACGAUCCAAACUGAACGGUUAGGGUUUCUGCUGAACAGCGUCGACUCGCCGAGUCCAUAUCUGGACUCGUCGAGUCCAGUCGCGGACCCGCGACCAAGUCUGCGAUCCUACUCGGCGAGUCUAGGCUCCAACUCGCCGAGUCCCCUCUUAACUCACCCCAAAAACAUAAUUAAACAAUACCUGAGAUUUCGGGCUGUUACAACUCUCCCCCACUUGGAUUAGACUUCGCCCUCGAAGUCUCACUCUGCAAAUAGUUCCGGAUGCUGCUCCCGCAUCUCGCGUUCCGGUUCCCAAGUCAUUUCCGAUCCCUUACGGUGUUGCCAUUGAACCAACACCAGAGGUACCUCCUUGUUCCUCAGAACCUUGAUCUUCCGAUCCCUGAUAGCCACUGGUCUCUCCGCGUAAUUCAGGCUCGCAUCCACCUGAAUAUCCUCCAAUGGAACCACUGCCGACUCAUCGGCUAUGCACUUCCUCAACUGCGACACAUGAAAAGUGUCAUGGAUCUGACCCAACUCCGCUGGUAACUCCAACCGAUAGGCUACCCGACCUAUCCUUGCAAUCACACGAAAUGGCCCAAUAUACCGGGGCCCCAACUUGCCCCUCUUCCUGAAUCGAAUCACUCCUUUCCAAGGAGAGACCUUCAGGAGAACGAAGUCGCCGACCUGAAAUUCAAGCUCGGAUCGGCGCCUGUCUGCAUAACUCUUCUGUCGGCUCUGGGCAGUCAAUAACCUUUGUCUCACUCGCUGAAUCUGCUCUGUCGUCUGGAGCACGAUCUCCGUGCUGCCCAUCACUCUCUGUCCCACCUCUCCCCAGCAAAUGGGGGUCCGACACCUCCUACCAUACAACAGCUCGAAAGGUGGCAUACCAAUGCUCGAAUGAUGGCUGUUGUUGUAGGAAAACUCUGCCAAUGGUAAAUACGCAUCCCAACUACCCCCGAAGUCUAACACACACGCUCGGAGCAUGUCCUCCAGCGUCUGAAUCGUCCGCUCGCUCUGACCGUCUGUCUGGGGAUGGUAUGCGGUACUAAAAUGCAAUUUAGUACCCAGCUCCUCAUGGAAUUUCUUCCAGAACCUGGAAGUGAAGCGCACAUCGCGGUCUGACACAAUCGAGAUCGGCACCCCGUGCCGAGAUACCACCUCUUUCACGUAUAUCUCCGCCAACUUUUCCGCUGAAGAACUCUCACUGAUGGCAAGGAAGUGUGCACUCUUCGUCAACCUAUCCACAAUCACCCAAAUUGCGUCAACUCCCCUAGCAGUCCUUGGCAAUUUGGUGAUAAAAUCCAUAGUGAUCUGUUCCCACUUCCACUCGGGGAUCUCCAAUGGCUGUAACUUGCCAUGCGGUCUCUGGUGCUCAGCCUUAACCCUACGGCAGGUCAAGCACCUCUCAACGAACCAUGCCACGUCCCUCUUCAUACAGGGCCACCAAUAUUCCUUCCUUAAAUCCAAAUACAUCUUUGUAGCACCGGGAUGGAUCGAGAAUUUCGAUCUAUGAGCCUCUUCCAUCAACGUAAUACGCGUACCGCCCACGAACGGUACCCAAAUCCGACCCUGAAACGUCAUAAGGCCUCGACUAUCCUUGACAAACUCUGAGAUUAACCCCACAACCCGCUCUUUCUUCUGCAUUUCUGGUCGCACAGCCUCUGCCUGGGCCCCACGAAUAGCGUCCAAUACUGGAGUCAUCACAGUCAGUCUCAAGCAUACAUCUCGCAAUGGAGUGCUCUCCGCCCUGCGGCUCAAUGCAUCGGCUACCACAUUAGCCUUGCCUGGGUGGUACAGGAUCUCACAAUCAUAAUCCUUGACCACAUCCAACCACCUCCUCUGACGCAUAUUUAGGUUGGGUUGAUCCAUCAAAUACUUCAAACUCUUAUGGUCCGUGUAUAUCGUACAUCGAACCCCAUACAAGUAGUGACGCCAAAUCUUGAGAGCGAACACUACUGCCCCCAACUCUAAAUCAUGCGUGGGAUAUCUCGCCUCAUGAGGCUUCAGCUGCCUCGACGCAUAAGCUAUCACAUGACCCCUCUGCAUCAACACUGCACCCAAUCCCGAAAUCGAUGCGUCGCAAUAUACCACGAAAUCUUCCAUCCCUUCUGGGAGAGCUAAUACCGGGGCUUCGCACAAUCUCUGGCGAAGUGUCUCAAAGGAGGUCUGCUGCUCGGGCCCCCAUGAGAACGUAACACCCUUCCGGGUCAAUCUGGUGAGUGGCACUGCGAUCUUGGAGAAAUCCUUGAUAAAUCUCCGAUAAUACCCUGCCAACCCAAGGAAACUUCUGAUCUCAGAGGGUGACUUCGGCACCUCCCAACUCAUCACCGCCUCAACCUUGGCCGGAUCGACCAAUAUCCCUUUCUGAUUAACCACAUGUCCUAGAAACUGGACCUCCCGCAACCAGAAGUCACAUUUGGAGAACUUUGCAUAAAGUUUCUCCGACCUCAAUACCUCCAGGACCUCCCUCAAAUGCUCCUCAUGCUGCUCUCUCGAUCUCGAAUACACCAGAAUGUCGUCGAUAAAUACGAUCACUGACCGAUCCAACAUCGGCCUGCAUACCCUGUUCAUGAGAUCCAUGAACACAGCCGGGGCAUUGGUGAGUCCAAAAGGCAUCACCACAAACUCAUAAUGUCCAUAUCGCGUCCUAAACGCUGUCUUCUGGACGUCUUCAUCCCGUACUCUCACCUGAUGGUAUCCUGACCUCAGAUCGAUCUUGGAAAACCAAGAUGCUCCCUGCAACUGAUCGAAUAAAUCAUCGAUCCUCGGCAACGGGUAACGGUUCUUGACCGUUAGCUUGUUCAACUCCCGGUAAUCAAUGCACAUCCGGUGUGAACCAUCCUUCUUUUUGACGAACAGAAUAGGUGCUCCCCAUGGCGAGCUGCUCGGCCGAAUGAAUCCCUUCCCCAGCAACUCCUGGAGUUGCGAGGACAACUCUUGCAUCUCUGGAGGUGCAAGACGAUAGGGCACUUUAGCAAUAGGUGCUGCCCCCGGAACCAGAUCAAUACUAAACUCUACUUGCCUCACAGGCGGUACUCCCGGCAACUCCUCGGGAAAGACAUCUGAAAAUUCGCGCACCACCGGAACUUCCUCAACUGACUUCGGUUUCUCGGAAACCUCCCGCGUAUCCAUCACAUACGCCACAAAACCCUUACAGCCCUGCCGUAGACACUGCCUCGCCCUAGCGGCCGAACAAAAAGCUGAUCCCGAACGGGUACCCUCGCCGUAUACCGAAAGAACUCCCCCUCUAGGGUCUCGUAUAGUCACCAACUGACGCUCACAGUCGAUGACAGCGCCGAACCGGCUCAGCCAGUCCAUGCCCACGAUGACACAGACAUCCCCCAUCGCGAUAGGAAUCAGAUCAAUCGGGAAUCCAACCCCGAAAAUCUCUAGUACACAUCCCCGAAGAACCUCCGUAGCACAAAUCACCUUCUCGUCAGCUAUAGAAACUCUCAAAGGUCGACUCAACGACUCACGACUAACGCCGAUAUGCUGACUAAAGGCUAAGGACACAAAGGACCUACUCGCACCCGAGUCAAAUAACACUAAGGCAGGCACAGAGUUCACAAGGAAAGUACCUACGCGCAUAAUAACAUAAGCAUAACAUAUCGACAUUAAAAUAAUUACAUGAAUUACAACAUACCUGCCACAACAUCGGGCGCAGCGCGGACCUCCUCCGCAGUCAGCUGAAAGGCUCUCCCACGAGCCCUCGGGGCCUCGACCUUCACCGGUCGAGUCUCAGUAGUCCUGGCAACAGGUGCAGAUCCCUGACGAAGCUGAGGGCACUCGGCCUUCCGAUGGCCGGUCUGGUUGCAAUGAAAGCAAACCAUAAAUCCCUUGGGACACUCCCUAGCAAUGUGUCCCUCCUUGCCACACUUGUAGCAAGCACCGGCUCGACACGCCCCAUCGUGACCCUUACCGCACUUUACGCAAGUGCGGUUCUUCGAACCUCCCGUCCUCGAAUCGGCGGACUUGAUCCGCUUGGCUGCCGGCUGAGACUGAGCCGGCCGCCGGUCUGCCUGCUGAGACUCGGCCUCCUCCCUGGCCUGAGUCUCUAACUCGAUCUCACGCUUCCUGGCAUUCGCCUGAAGCUCAGUAAAAGUAUGGUAAGUGGAGUUUGACACAAACUCCCGGAUCUCCCUCCUCAGAACACCCAAGUACCGGCUCAUCCGAGCCUGCUCUGUGGCCACCAGCUCGGGGCAAAACAUCGCCCUCUCAUGGAACUUCCGCGUGAUCGCCGCCACCGAAUCAGUACCCUGCUUGAGGGUUAAGAACUCCUGAACCAAUCGUUCCCGCUCCACCGGGGGAACGUACUCCUCCCUGAACAUGGUAGUGAACCCCUCCCAUGUCACUGCCGCAGUCUCUGCCAAAGUGAAGUUCGCCGUCACGAACUUCCACCAGUCCUUCGCUCCCAGACGGAGCUGGUUCAAAGCGAACCGUACCCUCAGGUGCUCCGGGCAUGAACAAGUGUAGAAGCACCCCUCUAUAUCUGCGAUCCACCUCAUCGCAGCAAUCGGAUCCUGCGUCCCAUCGAACUCUGGUGGCUUCGUGUUGCUGAACUCUCGGAACAGCAAUGAAUCACCCCCCUGUGGCCUAGCAGCGGCCACAGCUGCGGUAGCUGCAGCGGUUGCAGCCUCAGUCAAUGCGGCGUACCGCUCGUCGAACGUCUCCAUCAGGGUGGUCUUGAUAGACCCAAACAUCUCCGGGAUCUCAGCCCGGAUCGCCGCCGCCACCUCCUCGUGGAUCAUCUGACGAAUAUCCUCGUCACUCACACCGCUCGUACUUGCCCCGUGCCGCGGUCUAACCAUGAUAUCUCUGAAAUACAACAUAAAACUAUCAGAGAUUCUACCGAGUAUAAUCGUACUCGACACGCAACCCUACUCAGUCCCCGAUAUCCAGGGAUUCUUACUUGGGUCUCCCACUGACCCGGUGUCCUCGGUAGUACGGGCCCAAUACUACCGACCACACCGCAUCAGUGUUCAUCCCAAGUCCUCCUCCCCAAACUCCGGAUAGUGAGUACUCUACUUCUGAUAUGCACUAUCUACCCGCAUACUAGCAAAGCAUCUCAUAUAGGCAAACUUCCCUAGACUAAGGCAUCACAAAUCAGGCCACUCUAGUCCUAUCAUGAAUACCUAGUCUUCUAGCAUGCAUAACAAUUCAUAUCAUAUAAUAUUGUAAGGUAUUUUGGGGAUCUUUACCGUUCGGGCGCUGACUGAUCGUACACACUGCUUCUUUCUUGCUUACCACAAAACCAUUUACAAAAGUUUAUGCCUUUAUUUGAAAAGUUUCCUCAAAUCCUCGGUUUGAGUUCAGUUACCCCCGAAGGUGCACCCGAAUCCCUCAAACCAAGGCUCUGAUACCAAUUGUAACAACUCAAAUUUUUCAAACAAAUUUUUCAUUUUUAAAACAUAAUUAAUUCCAUUUAAAACAAGGCACAAGUAGUUAAGUAUUCUGUCAAAUACAUUUAUUCAAAAUCCCAAGAUCAUAAAAACAGUCUUCAGUGUGUAUCGAUCAUGCCGGCGCCUUCCCACGGUCCUCGCUAGUACCUGAAAUACAUGCACAACAACUGUAAGCAUAAAUGCUUAGUGAGUUCCCCAAUAUACAACUUACGCACAUACGCCUUUCCAGGCCCGACCUUCCGGUCCAUGUGUCUCAGGGGACUUCCGUCCCUGCUGGGUAAACCUUCCGGCCUUACCCACGCCGACCUUCCGGUCCAUCACACAACAUAUCGCCUUCCGGCCCAUAACAUAUUGCCUUCCGGCCCAUAAUAUAAUCGCCUUCCGGCCCAUAACAUACAUAGCACAUAUAACAAAUAACUUACCACAUAUAGCAUACAUAUCACAUAUCAUAUCCGACCUUCCGGUCACACAGUCAAACCCUUCCGGGUACAGUAUAGUGAGAAGACUCACCUCGUAGAAGCUGAACGCUAGCAAAUCCCGAAAUGACUCGUGCACAACUGACGAGCUACAACCUCCCUAUAACAUUACAUAUCUCAUUAAUACUUAUAUCUUCUAAGUGUGACUAUCCCUAAGAAGUCAGACUUAGGUCAACUCUGGUCAACGGUCAACUGUCAACUCGACCGGACUCGGCGAGUACCAUGGCGAC